UGUGAAACUAUAGAAACACAG
rnacentral:piRNA from 1 species